CAAUAGCGUAUAUUAAAGUUGUUGCGGUAAAAAAGCUCGUAGUUGGAUUUCUACCGAAGAUAGCCGGUCGGGUCUUCGACCUUGUAUCUGGUUUUGUCUUUGGUAUCCUCAUAGGGAACGUUUCUGCGCUUUAUUGCGUGGUGCGGUAUCUAUGACUUUUACUUCGAGGAAAUUAGAGUGUUCACGGCAGGCAAACGCCUUGAAUAUAUUAGCAUGGAAUAAUAACAUAGGAUCUUCGUCCUAUUUUGUUGGUUUCUAGGGCUAAGAUAAUGAUUAAUAGGGAUAAUUGGGGGCAUCUGUAUCAACGCGUCAGAGGUGGAAUUCUUGGAUUGCGUUGCGACAAACUACUGCGAAAGCAUUUGCCAAGGAUGUUUUCAUUGA
rnacentral:rRNA from 1 species